CUGGAAACCACCAGAGGGCUGAGGGCUCUUGCGUUCAGUUCCUGCUUGUGGGUUUCCCAUUAAGGCCCCAUAGCUGGCUUGUGAAAAGAGGACGCUGAACUAGAUGGGGGGUGAGGGAGGAAUUAAUAUCCUGUUAACAUUAAGAAAGAAAAUCACAGAUCAAUACCUGAAAAGCCAUGUCCUUCCCAACAGGACUUGCAGGGUGUUAAGAUCAGCAGAGGGGUACCGACGAAAGAAGAAUAGCAGACAAAAUUAAUGGACUAUGCAGAAUAGGAUAAAAUGACAGGAAGGAUUCGAAACCUGCGGGACCAGAGAUUUACAGAAGAUUGGAAGAAAUAUACGAACUAUUUGAAGAGCAACUGUAAUCAGCAAAUUACGCUGGUAGGACUGUAAGAAGUUUUGUAAGGAGAAAUAUAUGAAAUAUUGCAAAGAAGAGAAAGAAGAGAGACAUUAGUUAUGGUAUUUAAAUGUAAUAGUGAAAGUAAGAAAUGUAAAUUAAGUGAAAAGAUCGGAAAAUGUUCAGAU